rnacentral:rRNA from 1 species
AUGCAGGUUCUAUUUUAUUGUUCUGAGACAUAUGAUGAUAGCAUUGAGAAUAAGAAAUCUUUGCAAAAUGCACGCAUUAUUAAGGAGUUCUGGAACGAUUACUACGCUAAGUUGUUGGAUAUUGACAAAACGAAAAAGACUUCUAAUGUUGAUAUUUAUCAGGAUGAUGUUAGAAAGUUGUUGAUUAAUGAAAAGAAGAAUCAAAAUGGUGUGUUUUCUGAUACUGAAUUAAUAGAUUUACAGAAUCAAAUUGCAAAUUGCACAAUGAAGUUCGAUGAGGAUAAUCUAUUUAAAGUAACUCCUAACAUAGUAAAGUUCUUGAUUAAUAAAGAUCAGCCUAACGCUCAGCAAUAUCUAAAGGGUUGCCUACCAAGUAGCUUACCUAUGCUUAAGAUGUUUGGUAUCUAUACGCUUGAGGCUAUCAUGAUUCAUGUACUAGGCUUGGUAUUCAACACUCUUCAGGAAUCAUCCGCAGUUAAGGUAGCUAGAUUUAUAGAUCAACUUAAUUCAGCUGUACGAGAACAAGCAAGGUUUCUACAAUACAAAGCACCAGGUAGUGGUAAGGUGGAAGCAGUACUCACUAGUAAGGUAGAAUUAGUUAAGGAUGUUGUUCAGCCCAAAGGUGCUAGCAAAAAAGAGAAAAAGAAAAAAAAAAUCAGUGUCAUUAUGAUAUCGGGAAAUACUUGCUCCAAUUCAUGA